rnacentral:rRNA from 1 species
GACGAACGCUGGCGGCGUGCCUAAUACAUGCAAGUCGAGCGAGUCUGCCUUGAAGAUCGGAGUGCUUGCACUCUGUGAAACAAGAUACAGGCUAGCGGCGGACGGGUGAGUAACACGUGGGUAACCUGCCCAAGAGAUCGGGAUAACACCUGGAAACAGAUGCUAAUACCGGAUAACAACAGAUGAUGCCUAUCACCUGUUUAAAAGAUGGUUCUGCUAUCACUCUUGGAUGGACCUGCGGUGCAUUAGCUAGUUGGUAGGGUAAAGGCCUACCAAGGCGAUGAUGCAUAGCCGAGUUGAGAGACUGAUCGGCCACAUUGGGACUGAGACACGGCCCAAACUCCUACGGGAGGCAGCAGUAGGGAAUCUUCCACAAUGGACGCAAGUCUGAUGGAGCAACGCCGCGUGAGUGAAGAAGGGUUUCGGCUCGUAAAGCUCUGUUGUUGGUGAAGAAGGACAGGGGUAGUAACUGACCUUUGUUUGACGGUAAUCAAUGAGAAAGUCACGGCUAACUACGUG